rnacentral:rRNA from 1 species
AUCAACUUUCGAUGGUAGGAUAGAGGCCUACCAUGGUGGUAACGGGUAACGGGGUGUUAGGGCACGACACCGGAGAGGGAGCCUGAGAAACGGCUACCACAUCCAAGGAUGGCAGCAGGCGCGCAAAUUACCCAAUCCCGACACGGGGAGGUAGUGACAAUAAAUAACAAUACUGGGUUCUUUCGGAUUUCGUAAUUGGAGUGAGUACAAUCUAAAUCUCUUAACGAGGAACAAUUGGAGAGCAAGUCUGGUGCCAGCAGCCGCGGUAAUUCCAGCUCCAAUAGCGUAUAUUAAAGUUGUUGCAGUUAAAAAGCUCGUAGUUGAAUUUCGGGACCAAUAUGUCGGUCGUGCCUCGGUACGCACUGGCUUAUUGGUUUCUCCCUUCUGAAGAACCAUGAUGUCUUUUAUUUGGUGUCGUGGGGAAUCAGGACUGUUACUUUGAAAAAAUUAGAGUGUUUAAAGCAGGCUCACGCUUGAAUACAUUAGCAUGGAAUAAUGAAAUAGGACGUUUGAUUCUAUUUUGUUGGUUUCUAGGAUCGACGUAAUGAUUAAUAGGGAUAGUUGGGGGCAUUAGUAUUCAAUUGUCAGAGGUGAAAUUCUUGGAUUUAUUGAAGACUAACUACUGCGAAAGCAUUUGCCAAGGAUGUCUUCAUUAAUCAAGAACGAAAGUUAGGGGAUCGAAGACGAUCAGAUACCGUCGUAGUCUUAACCAUAAACUAUGCCGACUAGGGAUCGGAUGAUGUUAAUUUUUUAAUGACUCAUUCGGCGCCUUACGGGAAACCAAAGUGUUUGGGUUC